rnacentral:rRNA from 1 species
UAGGGAAUCUUCCACAAUGGACGCAAGUCUGAUGGAGCAACGCCGCGUGAGUGAAGAAGGCUUUCGGGUCGUAAAACUCUGUUAUUGAAGAAGAACGUGUGUGACAGUAACUGGUCAUGCAGUGACGGUAUUCAAUCAGAAAGUCACGGCUAACUACGUGCCAGCAGCCGCGGUAAUACGUAGGUGGCAAGCGUUGUCCGGAUUUAUUGGGCGUAAAGCGAGUGCAGGCGGUCUUUUAAGUCUGAUGUGAAAGCCUUCGGCUUAACCGAAGAAGGGCAUCGGAAACUGGGAGACUUGAGUGCAGAGGAGUNNGUGGAACUCCAUGUGUAGCGGUGAAAUGCGUAGAUAUAUGGAAGAACACCAGUGGCGAAGGCGGCUCUCUGUCUGUAACUGACGCUGAGGCUGCGAAAGCGU